rnacentral:rRNA from 1 species
AGAUUGAACGCUGGCGGCAUGCCUUACACAUGCAAGUCGAACGGUAGAGUAGCAAUACUCGAGAGUGGCGAACGGGUGAGUAAUAUAUCGGAACGUGCCCAGUCGUGGGGGAUAACGUAGAGAAAUUUACGCUAAUACCGCAUACGAUCUAAGGAUGAAAGCGGGGAUCGCUAAGACCUCGCGCGAUUGGAGCGGCUGAUAUCGAGAUUAGGUUGUUGGUAGAGGUUAAAAGCUCACCAAGCCGACGAUCUGUAGCUGGUUUGAGAGAACGACCAGCCACAACUGGACUGGAGACACGGCCCAGACUCCUACGGGAGGCAGCAGUAGGGGAAUUUUGGACAAGUGGGCGACGAAGCCUUAGGAU